rnacentral:rRNA from 1 species
CUACGGGUUGCAGCAGUGAGGAAUAUUGCGCAAUGGGCGAAAGCCUGACGCAGCGACGCCGCGUGGAGGAUGAAGGUUUUCGGAUUGUAAACUCCUGUUAAGUGGGAAGAAAGAACCAUCCUUAAUACGGAUGGGAGAUGACGGUACCAUUAAAGAAAGCACCGGCUAACUUCGUGCCAGCAGCCGCGGUAAGACGAGGGGUGCAAGCGUUAUUCGGAAUUAUUGGGCGUAAAGGGUGCGUAGGCGGCAUGUUAAGUCAAUCGUUAAAUUUUCCGGCCUAACUGGAAGCAAGCGAUAGAUACUGAUGUGCUAGAGAGUGAGAGAGAGAAGUGGAAUUUUCGGAGUAGCGGUAAAAUGCGUGGAUCUCGAGAGGAACACCAAUGGCGAAGGCAGCUUCUUGGCUCAUUUCUGACGCUCAUGCACGAAAGCGUGGGGAGCAAACAGGAUUAGAUACCCCCGUAGUC